GUUUGGGAGAACCACCUGAGCCAGUGAGGUGACCUGCCUCUGGAGGGAGGAGAGUGACUUCGCCGUAGCAUCGAGAGCCGCUUGAAGCUUUUUGUGAAGGCCAUCUUUAGUCCAGAUAGAGUGCCCUAUAGCUCCUCCUGAGACUCCAGCCACUGCUACAGUUGAAGCUACAGAGAGUCCUAUCAAAAUUGGCAGAAAGGCUGCACACUUGCUGCGUGGGGAAUUAGGGUGAGGGAGUAAGAGCUCAAACUCUGCGGUGCAACAUAAAGUAAGUUGAGAGGUUACUUGGACAACAAAACAGGGAGCAGUUAUAUUGUCAGAGAUGUGGGUCAUUAAGGUUUCAUUACACCAAAGAAAGUCUCCAGGGUUUGUGUAUUUAUUGGUGGAAGCAACCGUGUAAUGUGAGCUUCUGUCGUGUUGGGUGUGUGACGGAGGGCUAAUACAGAGCCA
rnacentral:lncRNA from 1 species